AUUGAACGCUGGCGGCAUGCUUUACACAUGCAAGUCGAACGGCGGCGCGGGCUUCGGCCUGGCGGCGAGUGGCGAACGGGUGAGUAAUAUAUCGGAACGUACCCAAGAGUGGGGGAUAACGUAGCGAAAGUUACGCUAAUACCGCAUACGAUCUAAGGAUGAAAGCAGGGGAUCGCAAGACCUUGUGCUCCUGGAGCGGCCGAUAUCUGAUUAGCUAGUUGGUGAGGUAAAGGCUCACCAAGGCAACGAUCAGUAGCUGGUCUGAGAGGACGACCAGCCACACUGGAACUGAGACACGGUCCAGACUCCUACGGGAGGCAGCAGUGGGGAAUUUUGGACAAUGGGGGCAACCCCGAUCCAGCAAUGCCGCGUGAGUGAAGAAGGCCUUCGGGUUGUAAAGCUCUUUUGUCAGGGAAGAAAAGGUCGUGGCUAAUAUCCACGACUGCUGACGGUACCUGAAGAAUAAGCACCGGCUAACCACGUGCCAGCCGCCGCAGUAACAC
rnacentral:rRNA from 1 species